AAAAAAAAGAAAGAAGAAAAAAAAGAGUAAAGGUGAUAUUGUAUCUGUGGAAAUAAGAAUUGAUUACAUAGAGUCCACUGUGGCAAAUUAGGGACCGCAUUAACUAAAAUAUUACACAUUAGCAAGGGAUUAGAUUUCUUUGGUGGCUUCAGCACACUAAACCUGACAAAAACAAAUUAUAACCUGCUGUGGAUUAGCAUCUUUUAUCUCCUAAUUUCCCUUCCUUUCAUGGUUUGUGGACAGUGUUCCAUUUUUUUAGAUACAUGACCUCCUUUGGAUUGUCUAAUUUUUUUUCUUUUACAUGCAUGAAGACAACCCCCAAUGCCAACUAAAAAAUUUAGACAUAAAGGACCAAUAUAGGAUGUUUCAAGAGCAUCCUACCAAUACAUAAAGGUGAGUAAAGUUUGAGGACUUUUUAUGCAUUUGUCCCACUAAAAGUUGAAUAAUAAACACAGGACAACCCAAAUUACGUGAAAGGAGAAACAGGUCAUACAAGCUACAAAUUAUCCAAGUUAAAAUUUACAUAAUUUAAUUCAAUGCCAAAGCAUUCUUCCAAGUGAUUUUAACAUCAUAACAUAAAUUUAAAAUGCUUAGGCCUCACCACACAAUUCGCUAUCAUAAAUUGAGUUUUAAUAAAUUAUGAUAAUUACCGCAAUGGAACUAGGUGGGGGAAAAAAACCCUCUUUAGAGAAGGAAGCAUAAAUUAUACUGCUGGCAUAGCUGCCAUGAGACUAUUACACCAUUAUUAGUUUCUCUGUGUCUGAAGCAAUGAUUAAACACAGAAACCAAUAUCGAUAAUAGCUAGAACACUGGUAUUAUGCAACCAGACAACUAAUGUACAUGGCCUAGAACAUCUAUCAAACAAAAUAUUAGCCUAGCGAAAAAACUUUCAUAUGUUAAGAUAUCCGCAAAACUAGUAAAUAGACCACAACAUUUUGAUAAUGUGUAUUUUAGGCAACCCAUUUCCAAGUUCAAAGUUCAAACAGCAUCUUUUACAGAACUAACAACGACCAACAAUAAAUUUGACCUGGGAACAGAAGGAAAAUCCAAAAAAACCUAACAGUAACAGGUAGCAUUGGCCUUCCUAAACAAAUUAAACAAUCAUUAUACCAACAUUUCAACCAUAAAAGGCCAGAAGCCAAAAGCGAUAAGAAGUUCAAAUUAUACAUUUAAACAAACAAAUUGAUAAAUGAUAAAUAAUCAAUCUGCAAUCUUACUAACCAAAAAUCACAAAGCUCACAGAGAGGGGAAAUAAUCUCACCAACCUUUUUCGCAUUAGUUUCCGAGCAAGGGAUUUCAAAUUAAGACUACUAAAAUGCUUUAAAACUGAGAAAAUUUCCCUCCAAUAAAAGACAAAACAAAGUGGUUCCAUCUUAAUUCAACCAUCUAUCGCCGUCAAAAUAAAACGAAAACCAUAAGACGCAUAAAGAGCACAAGAGGAUCUUACGGCCUCGGGCUUGCCG
rnacentral:misc_RNA from 1 species